CCGAUUGGUCGUCAGCAGCUGGAGGCGGGAAAGGGGGUUUGAAGCCGCAGGCAGACACGGGUCAAGAUAUCGGCUGGACCGGGAACGCUUUCCCUUAUCGGACGGCGGCCCGUCUGAAAGGGGCAAGGGGCGUCUCGCCAACUCUCCUUCGUGAACAUCGAUCCGACGCCACCUGUUGGCAAACUGCUGCUUCUAUAUUCGUGAUGGAAAAUGAAGUCGAUGAUACCGAUAAAGGGACGUUCAGCCGCCGCGCUCUCUGGCACAACGGACGCACUUUUAACAUACGAAAUUAAAAUAUUACGCGGUUCGUGGCGGCUGCCCCUGCAGAGCAAGCGGUUCAGUCGUAGUUGGUUAGAGAAUGAUUUAAUAAGAGGGGGGGGGGGGUUGGAUUGGCAGACCGGCGCAGGGCGGUUUUGGAAAUCAUACAAACGCACAUCUUGUUUGUUUGUUUUUAAACACAACAGAAAGUGGCGAUGAGCUUUUGCCAAGCCCGUUUCCUCCCCCGCGCAGGAACCUCCCUGCACGCAGUCCAUCGCGACCAACCCAAGGCCGAUGUGUUGACAUCUUAACGCUAAGAUGCAAGCGCCGCGUUCCCCCGAGCGAUUUCUUCUCACGGGUUCUACUGAAGCCGGAGACGAGAGGUGGACCACCGGCGUGAAGCGGAAGCUCCGCCGCUCAUCUGCUUUUAUCGGUUUCCUGGCGGUUUGGCGACACAAGGCCUGUUUGUAUGAAUGAAUUAAAACCGCAGCCAUGGUUGUGUCAUAGGACCGGAUCCCACCGGACAGCACAGUGUGUUUCGAGCCUCGGUGUGUGUGUGUGUGUGUGUGUGUGUCAGCAUUGCAUGCCUGGUGGUCCACAGUGGGCUGUGUAAAUAUUAUUCGCAGUAUAAAUGCUCCGCCACUCAAGCGCACAAAGGCAUGCACACAAUGGUUUAAGUGUGACUCGAGAAGGGGAGUCGAAGGGACGAAGAGACUUGAUCAAACGGUGAUCAAACUGCUCUGAAACCAGUCGUGUUGUAUGAAAGUCCACGUCCCAAAUGAUCUAAUCGGUAUUCGGGAAGCUGCUAAUCACACGUGAAGAUAAAAGACAAUCAACAGUUGCGCACAAUCAGCGUUCCUCGUAAAUCAUCUUUAUUAUGGUCGUCGUUGUUGAUCAGCUGACCCACUUUCUUGCCUGCAGAUUUACGUCAGAGAAAAAGAAGCGUCUUUGCUCACAAUGCAAUUGCAGCAGAGAGCUAUCGAUUAGUUUAAUGACUACUUAACUCGUUGUUCCAUGAAACACGAUGAAAAACGCCCACAACAAGCCUCAAGAUGGCCACUUCAGAACAUUUUAAACGGGAGCGUUUGCUGCCAAUGUGUUCAAAACGUUUUAUGUCAGCUUCUCGAAACAAAUUAUUCUCUAGUGCCGGAGACAUCUCUGCGUAAGUGCUUUUUAAUUUUGCUCUGUCAAAUAUAAUUUAUUAAUGCUUUUCUUUGCAUUUGGCUGUUAGACAUUAGAGGCUACAGAGUUACCGAAACAGAACAUAAUCUGUAAAAACCUUUAGAACUGAUUGUUUUCUUCCGUUUUCAAGUGAAAGUGCUUCUUUUUUACACCCAGACGAGUCGCCCCCUGGUGGCCGUGACAGGGAAUGCAAGUUUGAGAUGCGAUCGGCCUCAAUCCUCAGAACUGGUUGAUCAGACGGCAUCCAACGUUUCCGUAAGCAACCGACGGAGGAAUUUCAAUUCUUUCUUCCGAUUCAGGAUGCAAAACAAUGAAUGGAUGAAUAGAAAGCAUUCCGAAGCCGACGGAAGAGACUGACUGAGGCGGAAGCUAGCAACUAGAUACCUGCAUCGACACCGAGGGGGGUGUUUGGGGAUGUGCGGCUACGUGGCGCGCUAACAAGCCGAUUCAGACCGACUAGAUGAGGUUCGGGGGGGCGGGCGAGGUUAAUGCAUUACAGAUGAGUGGAUUCAUCCACUAUCGCUCUCCAUUAGUCAUCCUAUACUCUGAAAACAUGGAGAGGGCCUCUUGCACUUCCUUCAUAAAUGAAUACAGAUGACUGUGAGAAGGCACGCAGACACACACACACAAACACACAGGCUUGUUAGCUAAAGAUCACAGGCGUUUAUUCAUGAUAAUAUUCUCAUUAUGGCUUUUAUUUGAAUGUGAUUGGAGCAGGAACAUCAAACAUUGGUCACUUGGCGGAUUGAAACCAGCUUUAUGAAAUCUGAGAUGGAUUUCUAUCUUUGUCAGAUGGAGCGCGAGCGAUCCGAGUCAAAAAGAGCCUCAUUAAAAUGUAGCCUGCAUACGUGUUCAGCAUGAUAAGAGUCCACCUCCCACUUGUCCACUUCCUCCCACAGUGAUGUCAUUUCAAAGGUCUCCUCACCCGGGACUGUGUCUUAAAAUGAUCAUCGGUGCAGUGGGAGGGACCAACAGAGCUGCCUAGAAUUCAGCAGGUUGUCGAUUCUCUAACCGCCAAUCAGACAAGCCUCCUGAGGCGUGUGUGUGUGUGUGUGUGUGUGUGUGUGUGUGUGUGUGUGGUGACUCAUUGUAUUUGGCCCGUGCACAUGAUAACAGCAGAUUGGGGGUCAUGACAGAGGGAUUCUGCCUCUAUGACGUGUUAGUUACUCUCACUCUGCAGUGUUUAAUGUACCUUUCAAAGUAAAAGUAUGUUUUUUAAAAUCUUUUUUAAACAUUGUGCAAAAUGAAUUUCCACCUGUUCUUCGGUAACUUGAACGAUUGUUCAUAUUUUCAGUUUUCAUAAUCAUUUUAUAAUAACUUUUUGAAUGAUCUCUAUCAUCAGGUGGAUUGUUAUUGCCGUUGUUCCUGAAUGUAUUAUGUAGUCAAACAUAAUAAGUACACAAAUUACAUUUCACUGCCCUCCAGCUGUUGAUUAGUGUGUGUGUGUGUGGCGGUGGCUCUGUGUGUUUGCGGGAUGUUAAGGUGUGUGUGUGUGUGUGUCGGUUGCGGGAUUACUUCCAGUACCGUAAGAUCUUUGUUUACCCCCAGGCCCGUUGUUUACAGACUGAUUUCACAAAAUGAUGCGUGUGUGUGUAAACGCGGGGUGUGCACGUGGAGUGUGUACGUGUGGUCAGUUUAGCCAGUGACCUUUUCCCGCCCCGGGGGGGGGGGGCAGCCAAUCACAGGAGGGCUGUGGAGACGGCGUUCAGCCAAUCACAGGAAAACUGCCACCUCUCUGCUCUCUCCUGCUCCAUUGUGCCUUUUUUAUUAUCUUUCUCUGUUGAUGGUUACCGCAGUAAAGAGCUUGCUUGUCAUCAAGAACAACACAACUACUCCCCAUGACUCCCCUUGCCUCCCCCGUCUCUCUCCAUCUCUCUCUCUCUCUCCAAAAAAAGCUUCUGCUGACUAACGUGAGCUCUUUAUUUGUUCCUCUUUCCUCCUUCACGCGUUCCUUUGUCUAUUCGGCAGCUUUACUGCAGUGUUAACCAAUGCUUUUCCUGCACACGCACACAAACACACAUACACACGCAGACACACACACACACACACGCACGCACACUGAUGCUCAGUUUUUUUAAUCUUUUAUAAUGAGACCACUUGGUGAAAUAAAUUGUCAGGGUGUUUCUUUCUCUCUCGGUGUGUCAGCGCUUAACUCGGAUUGACUCCAAGCCUCUAUUGAUUUAUGGGCUUGAGCGAGUGUGUGUGUGUGUGUGUGUGUGUGUGUGUGUGUGUGUUGGUGUGUGUUGUUGCGUGACGUUCCGGGGGUCAAUUGGUUGCUCUUUAGGGGACUGGAGCUCAAUUAAGGUGGAUUUCUUCUGGCUCACGGUUGUAAAAGGACCAGAGAGUCAGCAGGUCAUCAACACCGAGCUGCCCCGGAUUCACCGGCUCGACCACACACACACACACACACACACACACACACACACACACACACACACACACACACACACGAUAGGAAUCCUCAGGAUGUGAGAAAUAACCCGAAGAGGCAAUAACGCAUUGAUUUUUCUGAAGGAGCCGGGCUCCCCGGGGACCCCGCUUGGUGCGGGGGUUGCGUGUCGGGUUGCGUGUCGGGUCGCGUAUCGAGUUGGGUAUCGGGUUCGGUAUCGGGUUGCGUGUCGGGUUGCGUGUCGGGUUGGGUAUCGGGUUGCGUAUCGGGUUGCGUAUCGGGUUGCGUAUCGGGUUCGGUAUCGGGUUGCGUGUCGGGUUGUGUGUCGGGUUGCGUGUCGGGUUGCGUGUCGAGUUGCGUAUCGGGUUGCGUAUCAGGUUGCGUAUCGGAUUGGGUAUCGCGUUGGGUAUCGGGUUGGGUUCGGGUUGCGUGUCGGGUUGGGUUCGGGUUGCGUGUCGGGUUGCGUGUCGGGUUGGGUAUCGGGUUGCGUGUCGGGUUGCGUGUCGGGUUGCGUAUCGGGUUGCGUAUCGAGUUGCGUAUCGAGUUGGGUAUCGAGUUGGGUAUCGGGUUGCGUGUCGGGUUGCGUGUCGGGUUGGGUAUCGGGUGGCGUGUCGGGUUGCGUAUUGAGUUGGGUAUCGGGUUGCGUAUCGGGUUGCGUAUCGGGUUGGGUAUCGGGUUGCGUAUCGAGUUGCGUAUCGGGUUGGGUAUCGGGUUGCGUAUCGAGUUGGGUAUCGAGUUGGGUAUCGGGUUGCGUGUCGGGUUGCGUGUCGGGUUGGGUAUCGGGUGGCGUGUCGGGUUGCAUAUAAGGUUGCGUAUCGAGUUGCGUAUCGGGUUGCGUAUUGAGUUGGGUAUCGGGUUGCGUAUCGAGUUGCGUAUCGGGUUGGGUAUUGGGUUGCGUGUCGGGUUGCGUGUCGGGCUGCGUGUCGGGCUGCGUGACGGUUGCGUAUCGUCACCGGACCUUCGCGGUGGUCUCCUUCGUCUUCGAUGCAGUGCUUAGUAUUCAGUUAUGCUUUUAGGUCAUGUUGUCUUGUUACCGCACUGCUGUGUCUAAUGAGCCCUUCCUGUUGUUGUUGUUGAUGAUGUGUGUGUGUGUGUUUGUACUGUAUGUGUGUCUGUUUCCCCACAGUCGAGCUCCACAUAAAUAACCCAAUAGUCCCGAUCACAUUACUGCCUGAAAGAUGGUUAGACUGACAGAAAGAGAGAGACGGGGGGGGGGGACCAUUGGUAAAGGCCCACUUUGUGUGGACACAGCGUUUUGUUUCACACAACAAUUCUUUGAGGGGAACCAACCCCCCCCCCCCUGCACAUUUCAAUCUGCACACAGCUACAUACGGAGGACGGAUGGAUCAAACAGCCCGCAAACGAGGUCUUGUGUGUAUUAGGAAGCGGGUGGGAGUGCGUGCAUGGAUGCACUCAUGUGUAGGGAUGCACAUCUCUAUGUGUGUGUGUGUGUGUGUGUGUGUGAGAGAGAGCGACAGCGUCUUAUUAUGAAAGAGUAAUGCAGAUGGAUGAAUAAAUAAAAGAUCUGGGAAACCCAUCAGCAUCGAGCACUCGGUUGUCAUGGCAAUGCGAGCAGCACAGCACAGUAUGUGCGUGUGUUUAAUGUGUUGCGAGUGAGAGAGAUCGACAUCGCACAACUGCAGUGUUUAGGUAUGUAAACAAGAGAUUCGCACUGAUGAAGAAGCGUACGGAACGCGGUUUGUUUCAGUUCGUCCUGCUCGGCCCAUGAACACACUCGUGCGUGAAGUUGCUUUUAAAUAGAGUCAACGUGACGUCUUGUAGGUGCGUCUUUGCCUGUUUGCAGCCCGUCUCUGCGUGUGAGUACGGUGACCGAAGCUUAAUUAAUGUUGGAAAAAAAAGUGCAUGAAAGUGCACGUGGAAAGUUUCAUGAAAGCUGCUUCAAACAGUGGCAAUGCGAUGUAUGCUGCUCUGUGAGAGAGAGAGAGGACUGGAAGAGGCUCUUACUAGAAACUCUACCUGGUUACUAGGCAACAGAAUGGCACUGCUGCACAUCGGAGCAUGGGGGGGGCAAUCUGUGUGUGAGGGUCCUCGUUCAACUGCUGAGUCAAUAACUAUAUUAUUUAUUGUUUAUAUUAUUUAUUAUUUAUGUGUGUGCGAGAGCCUACCAAUGUUCCUGCAGCAGCUCAGAAGGCGGAGUCAACCUGGCGGUCCCGCUGGACGCCGGGCGGCCGCUCACGCUCAUUUUUUUGCGGGUGACCUCGCGAACAGAGCGCACAGCGAGCGCCGCCGCCGCCGCCGCGGCUCAACCCCCGGGUUCUUCUUCCCUCUGCUUCCGUCUCGCUCGCUCUCUCUCGGCCCGCGUCGGAAUCGGCGGGAAUUACGUAAGCGGGGGGCCCGAGAGACGCUUUUUUUGUUAGAGCUUUUAUUACGACGACUGCAUCCGUUUAGUUUUCCUCGGCCUCAGCUUUAGCUCACAAUGAGUGAGGAAAUCAGGUCCAAGUACGGCCGACAGGUCCCACAUCAAAAAAACCCCAAACAAUCCUUGUGAACGACCCGCUGACCUCCGGACCAAAGCUGGUUCAGUGUGUGUGAACUCAUUAAGGGCACCCACUCUCACAGGCAGCGGGUCAAUGCAGACGGAUCCAUCCUCCUCACAUCGAAAAGCAUUUUUCAUUUGCUGCUGUGUGUGUGUGUGUGUGUGUGUGACAGACUGCUGUUUAAUGUCCAUUAGGCUGUAAUGAAGGAACGCCGCUCUCACCGGUCCCCUCGCUGCUUUCUAAUGGGCCUCUAUUAUCACGGUUCAAAGCGCACACACACACACACACACUCAUCUCUUUGAGAUGAAAGGGCAUCAUGAAGCAGGUGACCUAGCUGGAGUGCAGGAGGUCUGGCCUGUGUUAAACAGUCUGAAGUGGCCGUACGAAUGGGCGGUUAUGUGCUUGUCUGAAGAGGAAAGCGCCGCGCGUCACAAAACAAACUGUGAACACGGAGACGUCACAAUGCUGCAGACAACCAAACGCAUUGAACUUCUCCCCAAACGUUGGUAUGUUUCAAUGAGUCGAACGCAAACGGGGUCAAACCAAGACAUCUAUUCAGCAGGCAUUCGUCCUGCAGUAAAACAACCCAGAUCUCUCUGAGUGAGCUCUUCAUCUCAGCUUGCCUGCUGGGUACCUGUGAAUGUAAUUGUCUCACUUGGCGACUUUAACUGUGCAGCGAAACGCGACGUAAUGAAGCCGAAAUAUCAAACGGCAGACCCGAGAGUCGGCGAGGAGGACUCCUGGCAACACAUGACUCGAAGCAUAAUGCGCAAAAUCUGCUCACAUGUGGUUUAAUAACGAUCUAAAAAUACCUGCGUGGAGGAGAAUCUGCCUGCAUCCGCACACUGCGCAUGUAUAGAUUACGAAUGCAGCGUAAUCACUUCUGUUGCUGCCUCUCUGUUCUGUGAUAAAUGUGCAGGUCAGAGGUCGCCGACAUACACAAAAAAGCAGCUAUAAAAACCCUGCAGGAAGCCAAAGGGAAAUUAAACCUGUCACACAAGGAAGCCGACUCGCUCUGUGAUUCAUUUUAGCACCUUUUUCUCUCGGUUCACACGUCCACCUCCUUCUAACGUAAUGACCUAAUUCCCUGCUGGGAAUCAAUAAGGUUACCCGUGCCACUGGAUCACUUCAGUGAGGUCUAAACAUCCAUCUACGUAUCCUCCGCGAAGCCUUCUUACGCGUUGAAGGCUCUCUGGUGCGCAGGAACCAAAGGAGCCACUGAGCGACGAAAUCCCCCCUCUGACAUUUUAUCGGUGCAGCUGCAAAGCGUCCCGUGUAUCCAGAAAGUGCCACCAUCAACACCGCGGCGCUGCCAGUGGCUUCCUGCAGCCAUGCGGUUCUUUUGAGGUUCCCCGAGGUAACAACAACAAGAAAAAAAAAACGCUCUCUGACAGAGUGAGGCAGAGCGUGGAAACGCCACCUCCAGAGCGGACGUCUCCGGCUUUGCAGACGUCUAAUUGGCCACCGGCCCCCUCCGUCCUCCCUCCGUCCUCCCAGCGGCCGCUCAAGAGGCACGGCGGGCCGACUGAAAUGCCGACGGUUUAACCUGCCGUCAGCGGUAGCUUGCAUUCGUGUCCCUGUGUGCAUCACAAACGUGAGUUUGUGUCCAGUCCAACGUGAUCUCCAAAACCUGUUCGUAAACAUGUAUACGAGUAUCUUGAACAUACAAAUUCGUAAAAAUACAUAGGAACUGGCGGUGGUUAACCACGCCCCCUGAGUGAACAACAUGGCGGAGCAUGUCGGAUUCUCGAGUGAACGUCUCUCCGCCAUGUUGGAUUUUUUGAGGGGGUUAGGGUUAGUAUUCUAUUCUUACAAGUUAACACUGAUUUCUCGUUAAAAAUGCAAUCAUAACACGUUUAUUUUACAUGGUUAGACUUCACGAAGUGUGUUUACGGGGCGCAGGUUCACUUUGAACAGGGUGACGUCAUCAGUUGCAGUCCGUAUUUAUUUCCUAUGUAUCACUACGAAUUUGUAUGUUCAAGAUUUUCAUACACAUUUUUACGAACAGGUUCUGGAGAUCAGGCUGAUCCAGUCCCGAUGGUGUGUGUGUGUGUGUGUGUGUGUUGGGGCUAAAGGAGUGCUAACAUGAGCGCGUGUGACAGACCUCCCACGCACCCAGCUUGGAUCUGGCUUGUUCCGGUUUGGCGGUUUUGGCAUGGCGAUGGACGCAGGACAGGGCCGCCCUCGCUGAGAUGCUGUGCUAACUAACAGAUCAGAGAGCAGCCGCCUGCGUUUGUGUGUGUGUGUGUGUGUGUGUGUGUGAGAGAGGGAGGAUGUGUGUCUGACAGCGAGACUCAAGUCCACGUUGGCCCGUAAUCCUCCCAACACAUCAGCUGGUGCAGCAAAAAUCUUCCAAAAGCCUGAUCCGUAAUUGGGAAAGUAAACGACGUGUAGACACGUCGUAACAUCUCGCCCUCGAUGUCUUUGAGAAAAGUGGACGAUGGCAAAAAUCGAUUGGAGGAAAUCAGCGGCUGAAGCCUUGGAGAUGAUUGGAGAGAGCAGUAACCCGCCGCGUGGAUUUCCCCGGAGAGAGCUGUGUCACUUCCCCGCUGAGAGUGUCGCGUUACGGUGGCUGAUGGGGCGCAGCGCUGUCUUCUCGUGGAGGUCAUGGAGCUUCCUGUAAAGACUCAACGGCAACGGCAUCGGUACCGAUCGUUCCCCCAGGUGUCCUUCCACAAAGUCCAGGUCGUGUGGUCGGCUCUAAAAGCCAACAAAUGGAACAAGGGAGCUCCCUGCGGUUCCUUCCCUAAACGGUGGUGGAAGAGCUUUCUGGGAGGAAUGUGUUGACGGAUCGGCCCUUUGCCAACGCCGGGCGGGAGGCACUUCCGCCAAGGCGGCGCGUUCUGUGGCGAAAGCUGAAACGGAUCGGGGGUUUCCAUAAGGGGGUCGGGCUUUGAUGAAACCGUGCUAACCCCCUCCGUGCUAACUUCAUGCUAACACCUCUGGUGUGACGGAUACAAACAGAUGAGACCGAGGAGGAAACAAGCAGCACUUAUGCAGACCGCAGCUCAUUAAUAAAGGAUACGGAAAACCAGAUGUACGAGGUGUUCUGUGAUUUCACAACGUGAUGGUUGCGCGACCUUCGCAUAUUAUUUCCUAAUUUGGUAUCCGGCGUGGUGAGUUAUGCCGCGUGUGCGUGAGCGUGUUCGGUUGGCAUCUAGGUUAUUUCUUUAUGAUUGCGGCGUGUGCGCGCUAACACAUUUUAAGGGUGUUAUUGUUUAGAGGGAACCCUGCUUCCCGUGUUAUGGGAGCGAGAGAGAGAGACCGAGAGCGCCUCGGAACAUUAAUCUCACUUUGAAACAAAGCCGCGUGCAGCGAGAGCGGUGAUGUAACGCAUGCCGGGAUGUUGUGCGAGUGUAAAAAAAAAAAGCGACCUCCACCUCAGAGUGUGCCGGCCUCUGUUGGAGCACUUGACGCUAACUCGUUGGGAUGGAUGAAAACCACGGCAGCCGUGGGAGGAGGGAUUGUGGCAUUAAAGCUGCUAAUUUUACCCUCGUCCUGAGAGCCGCCGAGCUUCGUGUCUGUGCUUAUUUGAAGCGCACACUCAUGCGAAGAGGGCGCCGUCAUCCGGGGGCCCGGACAGGAAGACGGGAUGGGAUGCGUGCCGGGACAGAUGGUGCUUCUGCACAGAAAUAUCCCGGGUUCCGUAGACCGGGCCGUAGAUUUUGAUGCGAAUGGAAAAGUUACCUUGUCUCUGGUAGAUAAUAUCAUAAUAAUAGUGAAUAAAUAAUAUCACUAUUUUGGUUAAGUAGAACCGAGCUGAGCUGAGCUGAGUCUGGUUCUCUUAUCGGCCAUCAGAAGAAGCCAUCUUUGAUGUUUUAAUCAGAGGGCCUUCAACAAUUCUUCUUUUAGAGGCGAGUCACGUGAAAUCCCGAGGAAACGUCCUCG
ensembl:lncRNA